rnacentral:ncRNA from 1 species
CAAAAGUUUGGUCCUGGCUUUACUGUCAACUAUAGCCUGACUUACACAUGCAAGUAUCCGCACCCCUGUGAGAAUGCCCUACAGUUCCCCGCCCGGAAACAAGGAGCUGGUAUCAGGCACAAUCCCCCGAGAUAGCCCACAACACCUUGCUAAGCCACACCCCCAAGGGAAUACAGCAGUGAUAAACAUUAAGCCAUGAGCGAAAGCUCGACUUAGUUAAGGCUAACAGGGCCGGUAAAACUCGUGCCAGCCACCGCGGUUAUACGAGAGGCCCAAGUUGACAAACCACGGCGUAAAGGGUGGUUAAGAAACUUCUACCAAACUAAAGUCGAACGCCCCCAGUACUGUGAUACGUCUCCGAGGGCAUGAAGCCCGGCCACGAAAGUGACUUUAUUUUUUCCGACCCCACGAAAGCUGAGAAACAAACUGGGAUUAGAUACCCCACUAUGCUCAACCGUAAACUUCGAUAGCCUAUCACACCCGCUAUCCGCCUGGGGACUACGAGCACUAGCUUGAAACCCAAAGGACUUGGCGGUGCUUUAGACCCACCUAGAGGAGCCUGUCCUAGAACCGAUAAUCCCCGUUCAACCUCACCCCCUUUAGCCUUUUCCGUCUAUAUACCGCCGUCGUCAGCUUACCCUGUGAAGGGGUAGUAGUAAGCUUAAUCAGUAAAACUCAAAACGACAGGUCGAGGUGUAACAAAUAAGGGGGGAAGAGAUGGGCUACAUUCCCUAAACCAGGGAACACGGAAAGUGCACUGAAACGUGUACUAGAAGGAGGAUUUUAGCAGUAAGCAGAAAAUAGAGUGUUCUGCUGAAGCAGGCCCUGAAGCGCGCACACACCGGCCGU